rnacentral:rRNA from 1 species
AUACGUAGGUGGCAAGCGUUAUCCGGAAUUAUUGGGCGUAAAGAGGGAGCAGGCGGCAGCAAGGGUCUGUGGUGAAAGCCUGAAGCUUAACUUCAGUAAGCCAUAGAAACCAGGCAGCUAGAGUGCAGGAGAGGAUCGUGGAAUUCCAUGUGUAGCGGUGAAAUGCGUAGAUAUAUGGAGGAACACCAGUGGCGAAGGCGACGAUCUGGCCUGCAACUGACGCACAGUCCCGAAAGCGUGGGGAGCAAAUAGGAUUAGAUCCCCUAGUAGUCCACGCCGUAAACGAUGAGUACUAAGUGUUGGAUGUCAAAGUUCAGUCUGCAGUUAACGCAAUAAGUACUCCGCCUGAGUAGUACGUUCGCAAGAAUGAAACUCAAAGGAAUUGACGGGG